UACGUAGGGGGCUAGCGUUAUCCGGAAUUAUUGGGAGUAAAGGGUGCGUAGGCGGUUUGGUAAGUCUUGUGUGAAAUCUCCAGGCUCAACUUGGAGUCUGCACGAGAAACUGCCGGGCUUGAGUGUGGGAGAGGUGAGUGGAAUUCCUGGUGUAGCGGUGAAAUGCGUAGAUAUCAGGGGGAACACCUGUGGCGAAAGCGGCUCACUGGACCACAACUGACGCUGAUGCACGAAAGCUAGGGGAGCAAACAGG
rnacentral:rRNA from 1 species